rnacentral:rRNA from 1 species
AGAGUUUGAUCCUGGCUCAGGACGAACGCUGGCGGCACGCUUAACACAUGCAAGUCGAACGAGAGAAGAGGAGUUUGCUUUUCUGAUCUAGUGGCGGACGGGUGAGUAACACGUGAGCAAUCUGCCUUUCAGAGGGGGAUACCGAUUGGAAACGAUCGUUAAUACCGCAUAACAUAAUUGAACCGCAUGAUUUGAUUAUCAGAGAUUUAUCGCUGAAAGAUGAGCUUGCGUCUGAUUAGCUAGUUGGUAAGGUAACGGCUUACCAAGGCGACGAUCAGUAGCCGGACUGAGAGGUUGAUCGGCCACAUUGGGACUGAGACACGGCCCAGACUCCUACGGGAGGCAGCAGUGGGGAAUAUUGCACAAUGGAGGAAACUCUGAUGCAGCGAUGCCGCGUGAGGGAAGAAGGUUUUAGGAUUGUAAACCUCUGUCUUCAGGGACGAAAAAAGACGGUACCUGAGGAGGAAGCUCCGGCUAACUACGUGCCAGCAGCCGCGGUAAUACGUAGGGAGCGAGCGUUGUCCGGAAUUACUGGGUGUAAAGGGAGCGUAGGCGGGAUCGCAAGUCAGAUGUGAAAACUAUGGGCUUAACCCAUAAACUGCAUUUGAAACUGUGGUUCUUGAGUGAAGUAGAGGUAAGCGGAAUUCCUAGUGUAGCGGUGAAAUGCGUAGAUAUUAGGAGGAACAUCAGUGGCGAAGGCGGCUUACUGGGCUUUAACUGACGCUGAGGCUCGAAAGCGUGGGGAGCAAACAGGAUUAGAUACCCUGGUAGUCCACGCCGUAAACGAUGAUUACUAGGUGUGGGGGGACUGACCCCUUCCGUGCCGCAGCAAACGCAAUAAGUAAUCCACCUGGGGAGUACGACCGCAAGGUUGAAACUCAAAGGAAUUGACGGGGGCCCGCACAAGCAGUGGAGUAUGUGGAUUAAUUCGAAGCAACGCGAAGAACCUUACCAGGUCUUGACAUCGUAUGCAUAGCUCAGAGAUGAGUGAAAUCUCUUCGGAGACAUAUAGACAGGUGGUGCAUGGUUGUCGUCAGCUCGUGUCGUGAGAUGUUGGGUUAAGUCCCGCAACGAGCGCAACCCUUACUGUUAGUUGCUACGCAAGAGCACUCUAGCAGGACUGCCGUUGACAAAACGGAGGAAGGUGGGGAUGACGUCAAAUCAUCAUGCCCCUUAUGACCUGGGCCUCACACGUACUACAAUGGCUGUCAACAGAGGGAGGCAAAGCCGCGAGGUGGAGCGAACCCCUAAAAGCAGUCUUAGUUCGGAUUGUAGGCUGCAACCCGCCUACAUGAAGUCGGAAUUGCUAGUAAUCGCAGAUCAGCAUGCUGCGGUGAAUACGUUCCCGGGCCUUGUACACACCGCCCGUCACGCCAUGGGAGUCGGUAACACCCGAAGCCUGUAGUCUAACCGCAAGGAGGACGCAGUCGAAGGUGGGAUUGAUGACUGGGGUGAAGUCGUAACAAGGUA